UCACUUGGGAGAUUCUGCUAUGAUACGUCUGAAAAACCAUCCUGAGAGGAGACAGCUCCAUGCGUAAGGUCCUUCCCGCACAAGCGUGAGCACCAUGUUCAAUUUCCAGAGCCCACGCAAAAAGUCAGGUGAGGCAGCAUCUAUGUGUUGAUCCCAGAAUCCCAGCGCUGGGGAGGCAGAACCACGAGGAUCCCUGGGGCUCGCCGGCCAGACAUCUUAGCCUAAUCGGUAUUCUGUCACAGCAACGGAGAGCUACUGGUAGUCUGAGGAUUUUAGAAGGCCCCAGCGCUGCCUGAACUGUAUACGCUGGUGCAUGCCUGCAGUCCUGGCACUCUGCAGGCAGAAGCAAGAGGACCGGGAAUUGAAGGUUAUCGUUUGCUACAUGGAUGAUCAACAUAAAACCAGACACACUAAACCUGUUAGAAGAAAAAGUGGGGAAGAACCUUGAACUCAUUGUCACAGGAGACAACUUCCUGAACAGAACACCAACAGAACAGGCUCUAAGAUCAACAAUCAAUAAAUGGGACCUCAUGAAACUGAAAAGCUUCAAUAAAGCAAAGGACACUGUCAUCAGAACAAAAACGACAGCCUACAAAUUGGGAAAAGAUCUUCACCAACCCUAUAUCUGAUAGAGGCCUAAUAUCCAGAAUAUAUAAAGAACUCAAGAAGUUA